GUGCUCAGUUUCAGCAUCAUAUACACUAAAGUUGGGACAAUAUAGAGAUUAGCAUGGUGCCUCUGCAAAAAUGACAUGCAAAUUUGCUAAGCAUUCCAUAUUUUC
rnacentral:snRNA from 1 species